UGUGAGCCGUCACUCCCAGCCUCUGGAGGACGGGCAGAUGUCCUGGGGUGGAGGUCUUUGGUGGAGCACUAAGGACUUCCACUGAAAGAUCGUUUGAGUUACAUCACUUUCCAUAUUGGUUUGAACUCAGUGUACACUGUGAGGCACCCUGGGCCUGGGUUGCAGCCUUUGAGGAACGAAGUCCCACGGAGCUCAGCAAGGCCCCUCUUGCUGUCUUGGGAUCUCUGCCUGUUCACACUGUGUCAGCAAACUGCACCUGAGGAAUACGAAGCUUCAGAAAGCCCGUGUGCAUGCAUCGCACUGACACCUUCGCUCUGGGACACAGGAACACCUCCAGCAUGUUCGGACGGAGGAGAGCAGAGAGAGCAGAAAAAGGCCUCUGACUAACGAGUCAUCAAGCACUUCAGAUUUCUGGAAUACUCUAUUAGAGCUAUUGAAGAGAAAAAUGUACCUGGACAACUCCAAAUGGGGAAGGGGUAAAAUGAUAACAUGUCAAAGAAACCCACUCCAGCUUCCCUCCGCGAAGAGAACAAGGACCCUCAGUGAAGUCCUGCUGAUGACACCCAUUGGUGGCUGUGGCUUGUUCCAUCUGGACCCCGAUGGGGCCAUUGCACUUGUGCAGGCCCCUGGGAAUCUCUUCGGCUGUCACAGACUCUCGGCUGUGUAACUUGGUUCAGUACAAAUCCUUGGACUGAAUUUCUUUCUGUCCUGGAGCAAGCGAGGAGCCUGGUAUGCUGGCUCCACUGCAUAUAUCCAUCUUUACAGGCCUUUGAAAAAUAUACCCUGUGUGCAUUAUCAUUUUCUCUCUCUUCCUUAUUUGUGUAUGCUCCUCAAUGCCACUUUACACAUAAA